GCAUAUCAAUAAGCGGAGGAGAAAAAACUAACAAGGAUUCCCCUAGUAACGGCGAGUGAAGCGGGAUGAGCUCAAAUUUGAAAGCUGGCACUUGUGUCCGCAUUGUAAUCUCGAGAAGUAGUUUCUGUGUUGGGCCAUGUACAAGUUCCUUGGAAUAGGACAUCAGAGAGGGUGAGAAUCCCGUACUUGACAUGGAUUCCAAUGCUUUGUGAUCUGCUCUCUAUGAGUCGAGUUGUUUGGGAAUGCAGCUCAAAAUGGGUGGUAAAUUCCAUCUAAAGCUAAAUAUUGGGGAGAGACCGAUAGCGAACAAGUACCGUGAGGGAAAGAUGAAAAGCACUUUGGAAAGAGAGUUAAACAGUACGUGAAAUUGUCAAAAGGGAAGCGCUUGAGGUUAGCUAUGCAUGCAGUAUUCAACCUUUCUUUUGAUGGGUGUAUUUGCUGUUUUGCAGGCCAGCAUCGGUUUUGUCUGCUGGAUAAUGAUAGAAGGAAUGUGGCAUCCUCGGAUGUGUUAUAGCCUUCUAUUUGAUACAGUGGAUGGGACCGAGGACCGCAGUGUGCCGUAAGGCAGGCUCUUCGGAGUACUUUCACACUUAGGAUGCUGGCGUAAUGGCCUUAAGCGGCCCGUCUUGAAACACGGACCAAGGAGUCUAACAUAUUUGCGAGUCUUUGGGUGGCAAACCCAUAGGCGCAAUGAAAGUGAAUGCAGGUGGGAUCCCCUCGGGGUGCACCAUCGACCGAUCCAGAAUUUUUAGGAAGGAUUUGAGUACGAGCACAUAUGUUGGGACCCGAAAGAUGGUGAACUAUGCCUGAAUAGGGCGAAGCCAGAGGAAACUCUGGUGGAGGCUCGUAGCGAUUCUGACGUGCA
rnacentral:rRNA from 2 species